rnacentral:sRNA from 10 species
UGAAGAAUUAAGAGGCAACUCUUAACUGGCCGGCUAAGGAAAAACCGAGAGGUUCAAGCUUAGAGGGCAGAAAGCUCUGCGGAGUAGCGCUUAAAUCGCAGAGCGGAGGGCAUGGCGGUAGCGCAUACAACGACGUGCCAA